rnacentral:rRNA from 1 species
CAAUAGCGUAUAUUAAAGUUGUUGCAGUUAAAAAGCUCGUAGUUGGAUUUGUGGCGUACGGUGUGUUCCGGGCACUUGUUGUCUGAGUAACCUGCUGUUGCCAUCCUUGGGUGGAACCUGUGUGGCAUUAGGUUGUCGUGCAGGGGAUGCCCAUCAUUUACUGUGAAAAAAUUAGAGUGUUCAAAGCAGGCUUAUGCCGUUGAAUAUAUUAGCAUGGAAUAAUGAGAUAGGACUUUUUUGCUAUUUUGUUGGUUUGCGCAAAGAGGUAAUGAUUAAUAGGGACAGUUGGGGGUAUUCGUAUUCCAUUGUCAGAGGUGAAAUUCUUGGAUUUUUGGAAGACGAACUACUGCGAAAGCAUUUACCAAGGGUGUUUUCAUUAA